GAAGAAACGAAACAAACCAGCAGCAAAAGAUGAGUGUGGUUCCAGCUGGAUCUCUGUCUUACCUGCACCCAGGACACUAAGCCUGUGCGAUAAAUGACUUCUCCCUUGUGUUGGAAGGAGAUUCGAGUCAACCAGACCCUUCUUGGAGAGGCGAUGUUGCCAACUCCUGCCCCAGGCAGAAAGAAGCUUUUGGUACUAGGGACCCCCUCUGAGCAAGACGGAGGGAAAGUCACUGGGAUUGGAGAUGUAAAUCUCAGGGCAGGGUGCAGGAGACCCUGAAGAGCCUGUUGUACCGGGACUUUUGUCAAAGGGAGAGACGUGUCUGAGCUGGACCUGAUUCCUGGAAUGCAACUGUAAUGAGCCGUAGCUGGAAUUAUUCCUCAAGAAUUAUGGCGAGUUAGCAUGGCAGCAAAGUAUUAAAGCAAACUCUACCCCUUGGGAACAGGAACACACUCCCAUUGCUUCUGGUAGCCACUGGCCUCAGAAGGACUGGCUGAAGGGAGCUCCACUCAGGUCUUUCCCAUUUCCUCCUUCUCCUCUUCCACUUCUUUCUUCCAGCAACGAUCAAAAGAUAGCAACAUCACUCAGAUCCUGCUAGUGUGUUGGAAAUACCGUGCCUUGGUUUGGGAUGAUUUGUACUGAAGUGCCACUUCAAUGGGAUAUACUCAAUGGGAUGUAUAAGGUGCAACUUGGGUGAUGACCACUCAGCUGGGACUGACUUGGUUAACAAAGUUUGCAGGCUGCUUGCAAGGACCAGGUGGAAUGGAAUUGCUGUGCUCUUAUAGGACUCUAGUGUUAAACAAGGGAUCUUCAUGCAGUGUUUGAAAACCAGAGCUAUUGCUAACUCUUGCUGAUCAAGCUACUGGCUUUUAUUUUUUCCCCACUUGCACCUUCACGAAAAAAAUACACCCGAUGCAAUCGGUGCAAUUGUUUCUAGGUUGGUUUCAUGUUUAUGAUUUGCUAUGCAAUUCAAAUGCUAAAUAAGGAAGAAUCACAAAUCUUCAUCCCAGGACAAACAGAAUCAAAAGGUAAAAGGUAGGAAGCAGAAUUUCUCGUUUAAAUAGAAAUAAAUAACCUGAGCCAUUCCUUUCUGAAAAUCUG
rnacentral:lncRNA from 1 species